AGCGGCGGACGGGUGAGUAACGCGUGGGUAACCUACCUCAUACAGGGGGAUAACAGUUGGAAACGGCUGCUAAUACCGCAUAAGCGCACAGUACCGCAUGGUACCGUGUGAAAAACUCCGGUGGUAUGAGAUGGCCUCGCGUCCGAUUAGCUAGUUGGUGAGGUAACGGCCCACCAAGGCGACGAUCGGUAGCCGGACUGAGAGGUUGAACGGCCACAUUGGGACUGAGACACGGCCCAG
rnacentral:rRNA from 1 species